UGACCUCGGAUCAGGUAGGGAUACCCGCUGAACUUAAGCAUAUCAAUAAGCGGAGGAAAAGAAACCAACAGGGAUUGCCCUAGUAACGGCGAGUGAAGCGGCAACAGCUCAAAUUUGAAAUCUGGCUCUUUCAGAGUCCGAGUUGUAAUUUGCAGAGGGCGCUUUGGCUUUGGCAGCGGUCCAAGUUCCUUGGAACAGGACGUCACAGAGGGUGAGAAUCCCGUACGUGGUCGCUAGCUAUUGCCGUGUAAAGCCCCUUCGACGAGUCGAGUUGUUUGGGAAUGCAGCUCUAAAUGGGAGGUAAAUUUCUUCUAAAGCUAAAUAUUGGCCAGAGACCGAUAGCGCACAAGUAGAGUGAUCGAAAGAUGAAAAGCACUUUGGAAAGAGAGUCAAACAGCACGUGAAAUUGUUGAAAGGGAAGCGCUUGCAGCCAGACUUGCUUGCAGUUGCUCAUCCGGGCUUUUGCCCGGUGCACUCUUCUGUAGGCAGGCCAGCAUCAGUUUGGGCGGUGGGAUAAAGGUCUCUGUCACGUACCUCUCUUCGGGGAGGCCUUAUAGGGGAGACGACAUACCACCAGCCUAGACUGAGGUCCGC
rnacentral:rRNA from 1 species